rnacentral:lncRNA from 1 species
GCUGCACAGUUAGAGAGUCCCUUCACCAGCUGAGUAAAUAUGUGACCUUGAGCCAGAUUGAAAUUGGUAAACUGGAGACCAAGAGGAUGUGGCAAUGGAUAGUCUAUUAAAUAAAGAAAACAUUUCAAAGGACUAAAUUAGAUGAAGCCAGAGACAGAUUUGUGAUAUCUCAUCCUUCUCCCAUAAACAAUAAGAAGUCAGCCGGAGCUCCCUUUUGUGAUUUAGAGCAUUAUCCUUUCCAAUAGUCUUAUAUCAGUGGUGCUUACGAGACACC